GAUGAACGCUGUCGGCGUGCCUAAUACAUGCAAGUCGAGCGAACGGACGAGAAGCUUGCUUCUCUGAUGUUAUCGGCGGACGGGUGAGUAACACGUGGAUAACCUACCUAUAAGACUGGGAUAACUUCGGGAAACCGGAGCUAAAACCGGAUAAUAUUUUGAACCGCAUUGUUCAAAAGUGAAAGACGGUCUUGCUGUCACUUAUAGAUGGAUCCGCGCUGCAUUAGCUAGUUGGUAAGGUAACGGCUUACCAAGGCAACGAUGCAUAGCCGACCUGAGAGGGUGAACGGCAACACUGGAACGGAGACACGGUCCAGACUCCUACGGGAGGCAGCAGUAGGGAAUAUUCCGCAAUGGGCGAAAGCCUGACGGAGCAAAGCCCCGUGAGUGAUGAAGGUCUUCGGAUCGUAAAACUCUGUUAUUAGGAAAGAACAUAUGUGUAAGUAACUGUGCACAUCUUGACGGUACCUAAUCAGAAAGCCACGGCUAACUACGUG
rnacentral:rRNA from 1 species